CUCCGGGAGCUCCAGGUGACUUCUACAGAAAGAAGGGAGCCUUAGAAAGGCUGAAGCACACCAGCAGGCACACAGUGAGACUGCUGGGGGGAAUGGCACUGCAGAAACAGCUGGAACGCAUGGAAAAGCUAUGAAGUUCGAAAUUUUUUUGGGGGAAACUAGACUUUUUUUUAUGUAUAUGGGUAUUUUUUUCUGAAUGUUUGUAGGAGCACCACAGGCAUGCCUCGUGCCUGCAGAGCUCAGAGGAGGGCAUCUGAUCCUGUGGAGUUAUAGAUGGUUGUGAACUUUUAACUGAGGAGACUCCGAGCUAUGGUGCCCAAGAACAGAAUGGUGGCCUGGUCACACCCUCUCUCCUGCGCAUUUAUCAUGAAAUCAACUCGCUACGAGGGGCCCCAAGGCCUGGGCUUUCGAUGUCGUGUAACUCUGGAACUCCACAUGAGGGGAAACAGACUAGAUGCAGCCCUGUGUGUGGGGACGUGGGCUGGAGCCAGGUGUCCAGAGCUUUUCCUGAACCUGCUCCAGCGUGCUGCAGCCUGUGGUUGUUAGAAGGCGCAGAGGAACAGGACAAUAGAUUAGAGCUUUUAACUGAACUGACAAGGCUGCUGAGAAGGGCUGGAUGGCUUGCCGAGAGCCCUGAAAGACCAUCUGGCCCCACUGAGGAAGCGUGUCACCGUGUUCUGCACCUUUAAGAUCUGUGAGCUCUUCCUGGGCAUGAGGUUGGACCAAGCACGUGAGAGACUGCCUGGAGCCAUUUGUGCCGCAG
rnacentral:lncRNA from 1 species